rnacentral:rRNA from 1 species
GAUGAACGCUAGCGACAGGCCUAACACAUGCAAGUCGAGGGGCAGCACAAGGAGCAAUCUGAGGUGGCGACCGGCGCACGGGUGAGUAACACGUAUGCAACCUGCCUGUAAGCGGGGAAUAACCCGUUGAAAGACGGACUAAUACCGCAUAAUACUAAAUUACUGCAUGGUAAUUUAUUUAAACAUUUAUGGCUUACAGAUGGGCAUGCGCAUGAUUAGCUAGUUGGAGAGGUAACGGCUCCCCAAGGCAACGAUCAUUAGGGGUUCUGAGAGGAAGGUCCCCCACACUGGUACUGAGACACGGACCAGACUCCUACGGGAGGCAGCAGUGAGGAAUAUUGGUCAAUGGACGAGAGUCUGAACCAGCCAAAGUCGCGUGCAGGAAGAAAUGUCCUAUGGAUUGUAAAACUGCUUUUUGCAGGGGGAAAUAAAAGUAGAGCCACGUGUGGUUUUUUGUUUAUGUACUACUUGCGAAGUAAAGAAGUACGCGUAACUACCGUCGCC